GUGCACAGUGAACACCCAAGUGUGCUUUAUAGUUCCCUUGGCUUUGACUCUGUGCUAGAGCAAUGUCUGUUCUUUUCCUCUGCAUUGAAAGUUGUAUUCAGAGAGUCAGCCCAUUA